GGUAUUUUGGCCCUUUGGCAUAGUGUCGUGUGGCAGAUUAUUACAUGGUAGUUAUAACUCAGUUUAGGGUUUGUUAGUUUAUUGAGAAUGGAUUAGAAGUUUGGAUAAAUUUGAUUUAAGUGAGGUUCAAAAUGAUUGAAUCUUAGGCUCCAACUUGAAUAUGAAUGAGCGACUUAUAUGGUGAAUAAAUUGUGUUAUUGUUUUGAAUGUGGUUCUUAUGAUAAUUGAAUUAUCUUGAAGCAUGUUGGCUAUAGGUUUUAUGUAUGAUGUUGCAUCAUAUUAUCUCUGAAUCAAUUCAUGCUUGUCCUGGAUUUGAUGUAACAUGCUUUAGGGUCAUUUGUUUUUGCAUCUAUUCAUGUUGGUGUGGAUGAUAACCCUAGUUUGUAUUUUGGUUUUGAAUGACCUGUUAUAAGUAGAUGAAACUUGAUGCUUGUGUUGCUUCAGUUGUGAGCCAUAACAUGUGUUUUAGGGUGGCUCUGAGUUGAAUCUAUUUGUGAACUGAUUGUAAAUUAGCCUUUGGAUCUGAAUUGAACUAUAUGUGCAUUGCUGAAACUGGUGUUAUAUGGACUUGUUUAUUUAUGGCAUUGCAUUAUGUUGAUGUUGUAGUCUUUUUGUAGGUUGGGCAUGAAGUUUAUGCAGCCUGGUUUAUUGGUUGGGCAUGAAUUUAGGCAUGGUCCAUGAAGCAUUUUAGAAACAUUGAAACUACUUGGACAUGAAGAUAUGUGAUGAUAAUUGAAGAAUGGAAGCAAACUGAAGCUGAAAACAGUUAGGUCUUAGGUAAAAUUGGGGUCCUGGUCAAACUUCGGUCAAUUGUUUGACAAGAAGUCAAUAGUUGACCAAAAAUCUAUUGUCGGUCAAGACUUGGAUUUUUCAAGUAUCAAUUUUGUAAUAUUUUUUUCUUGUAUUUUGGUACAUUUGAAUGUAAUGUUGACUUGCACUUCAAGAAACAAAGCUCCUUUAUAUUUUCUUUCCAUUUCUUUUGUAAUUUGAA
rnacentral:lncRNA from 1 species